GACGAACGCUGGCGGCGUGCUUAACACAUGCAAGUCGAACGGUAAGGCCCUUCGGGGUACACGAGUGGCGAACGAGUGAGUAACACGUGGGUGAUCUGCCCUGCACUUCGGGAUAAGACUGGGAAACUGGGUCUAAUACCGGAUAGGACCACUGCCUGCAUGGGGGGUGGUGGAAAGCUUUUGCGGUGUGGGAUGGGCCCGCGGGCUGUCAGCUGGUUGGUGGGGUGAUGGCCUACCAAGGCGACGACGGGUAGCCGGCCUGAGAGGGUGACCGGCCACACUGGGACUGAGAUACGGCCCAGACUCCUACGGGAGGCAGCAGUGGGGAAUAUUGCACAAUGGGCGCAAGCCUGAUGCAGCGACGCCGCGUGAGGGAUGACGGCCUUCGGGUUGUAAACCUCUUUCAGCACCGACGAAGCGCAAGUGACGGUAGGUGCAGAAGAAGGACCGGCCAACUACGUGCCAGCAGCCGCCGUAA
rnacentral:rRNA from 1 species